ensembl:rRNA 5S_rRNA 5S ribosomal RNA
GCCUGGUUAGUACUUGGAUGGGAGACCGCCUCUGAAUAUCAGGU